AAACUCUGGUUUCCCUUCAAAACGCAGAAAUCUUUCGCCUUUUACUAAAGAUUUCCGUGGAGGGGAGCAACUCAAUGAGUCUUAAGGCUAUUAGGGGCCGCCGUGGUACAGUGGAA